rnacentral:rRNA from 1 species
UACGUAGGAGGCUAGCGUUGUCCGGAAUCAUUGGGCGUAAAGCGCACGUAGGCGGAUUGUUAAGUCAGGGGUGAAAUCCUGGAGCUCAACUCCAGAACUGCCUUUGAUACUGGCGAUCUCGAGUCCGGGAGAGGUGAGUGGAACUGCGAGUGUAGAGGUGAAAUUCGUAGAUAUUCGCAAGAACACCAGUGGCGAAGGCGGCUCACUGGCCCGGUACUGACGCUGAGGUGCGAGAGCGUGGGGAGCGAACCGG